rnacentral:rRNA from 1 species
CCUACGGGGGGCUGCAGUGGGGAAUAUUGGACAAUGGGGGGAACCCUGAUCCAGCCAUGCCGCGUGUGUGAAGAAGGCCCUCGGGUUGUAAAGCACUUUCAGUGAGGAAGAACGCCUGGUGGUUAAUACCCAUCAGGAAAGACAUCACUCACAGAAGAAGCACCGGCUAACUCCGUGCCAGCAGCCGCGGUAAUACGGAGGGUGCGAGCGUUAAUCGGAAUUACUGGGCGUAAGGCGCGCGUAGGUGGCUUGAUAAGCCGGUUGUGAAAGCCCCGGGCUCAACCUGGGAACGGCAUCCGGAACUGUCAAGCUAGAGUGCAGGAGAGGAAGGUAGAAUUCCCGGUGUAGCGGUGAAAUGCGUAGAGAUCGGGAGGAAUACCAGUGGCGAAGGCGGCCUUCUGGACUGACACUGCCACUGAGGUGCGAAAGCGUGGGUAGCAAACAGGAUUAGAUACCCUUGUAGUC